ensembl:lncRNA
GCACUCCGAGCGCCAGGAGCUCUCCAGGCUGGUCAAGAACCGCAUGAAGCACCUGGGGCUGCCCACCACGGCUAUGAGGGACGUAGCAAAUUUAACAGCCAGUGAUGUCAUGAAUCGGGUAAACCUGGGAUAUUUGCAAGAUGAGAUGAACGAUCAGCAGAACACGCUGUCCUACGUCCUCAUCAACCCUCCACCCGACACGCGGCUGGAGCCCAACGACAUUGUGUACCUCAUCCGCUCCGACCCCCUGGCCCACAUGGCCAGCAGCUCCCCGAGCCACAAGAGCAGCUGCAGCAACAAACUGUCCUCCUGCAACCCCGAGACCGUGACGAGACCCAGCUCUGAGGCUGGGACCUGGGCUGGGCCCUGAAGGGCCGCAGCAAGGAUGCAGGAGGGGCGGCCAGGCACUGCUCUGGCCACAGCCGUUCAUGGUGGCUCCUGGGACAUGGCUCCGUGGGGGUAGGCCUCGCUGCAGGCCGGAGGGGGGUCUCCACACUACCCUGGAGGCUGCCAGGAAGUGGUUUUUAAGCUGUUUUUACAAAUCUGUGACCCAUGUCUUCACAGCUGUGCCGAAACUCGUGACCAGGACCGGCCAAGGUGAAGGGGUGGGUGGCCGGGAGGGGACAGCCGGGGACUGGACACCACCAGAGUCCUCUGCCCUGCAAGGCCACAUCUGGGCGCUGCCAGAGGACAGAGGCCGGGAGGGGAAGGGCGCCCCCUGGGGCCCAGUGCAGGAAGCCCCAUGGCCCGCACAAGGGCUGCCCAGCAGGCUCAAGGCCAUCCAGGCUCCUGCAGGGCUUGGCCUGUGGCAUCUGUCGGCAACAAGGGCGCCCUCUGCUGUGGCUGAGCCCACGACUCUGCAGAAGUCAGAAGAAUUUCCUAUUUUUACACCAAGACUUCCCUCCUGCCUCUUGGGCACAGGGGCAGACAUGGCCUCUCUGUGGCCCACCCCACACUCUCCUAAAGCGAAGCCUUGUUCCUGAACGCCCGGCACAAGAAGCACAAUUCGCCCUGGGUGCUGCCUGCUGCCCUCAGCCUCCAGUCUCCUCCAGGGCAGAGGCCCAGGACCACAGUCACUGCCAGUGUCCCUGGGAUGCCCCUCGGCCAGCGCCUGGUAAUCCCUGCGCUCUGCAGGCUGCAUGUUCCAAGGCAGCUGCCCAGGGGACUUGGGGCUCUGGGCCCAGGGGCUGGAGGACACCGGGGCUCACUUGUUUCACUUAAAAAUGCCCGCCAUGGUCCCCACGACCUAGGCCCGGCCAACACGGCGCUCCAAACUGUGGGCAUCAAACCCUGUGUGGCAGAUUGGCAGCUUGGCUGAGGCGGGUGCCCAGUGUCCAGGAGGUUCCCUGGGGCGGGAGACCCAGGCCUGAGGGUGGGCGCGGCUCCUCGGACCCACAGCUGCUGGGGACCUGUCCACUGGGGGGCAGGGCUGUGUACCUCACCUGUGUCCAUUUUGGGUACCCCAAGAGGCUGGGGUGGAAGGGAAGGGCAAGCAGCUCAGGGACAGCAGGGCCCUUCCGGGGACACGCCCCUCCCCACCGGGACACGCCCCCUGGGCGGGACACGCCCCCGGCCAGGACACGCCCAGGGCCAGACUGCCUUCCACAGCACCGGACACAGCUUGUGCCCCUAUCCUGGCCUGCCUGGUGCCUGCUCAGAAAGUGCCUAGAGGUCCUAAGUGCAGCAUUCUUGGGGACAGAAGGACAGGCAGAGAGGGGCCCUGUGGCAUCAGGACGAGGAAGCCCUUGGCCUUGAAGUGGCAAGCACCCAGCCUGGGCAGGGGAGGCCAGCCCUGUCCUGGCUGGGCUCCAGCCUCCUGCACUGGAGCAGGCCGAGCUUGCCUUGCCCAGGCGGCUCAGUGCCCUCGGCCGCGCCUCCUGCACCCAGGCUCCAGCCCCCUGUGCAGCCACCUGCCUGGCUGUGGGACCCCCUGGAAGGGCUGCUGUCCCUGGGUGGCACCUGGGGGGACGUCCUCCGCCUCGGGUUUGGGCUACAGCACGUGGCCAAGUGCGGCAGCAUCCUCCUAGUCUCUGGCAGGGCCGGGUCUGCCUCCCACAGGUGUGCGUGCCCAGGAUCUCGGCUGCUGAGGGUGUCAGGCCCUGGACAGGGUACCCUGCUCUGCCAGAACACACGGGGGCAGUGCUUGGGGUGCCCCCGCACUGGGCCAGGGGUCGCUGUCCUGAGACGUUGGUCACCAGCCCAAUAAAAGCUGCCUGUGCAUCUGGAAGCUUUGUGCUCCCCUCGGCCUCCACCCUCUCUGUCUCCAGGAUCGGGGGCCAUCUGGAGCCUCUCUGGGAGUUUGUCCUGGCUCCAUUCACUGACAGCCCUGGCAGCAGGAGGAGGUCCCAGCCCUGCUGUCCCCCCCCACCACGGCCCCGCAGCCCACCUGCCCUGCCAACCCAGAAUCGCUCAAGACUCCCGCUCCGCGCCGAGUGGGCUGUUGCUGCCCAGAGACUAGCGCUUAAACGCUUGGCAGGAGGACCUUUGAAAUGUACUGUAUUAGCAAGAAACCUUGUAUCCUGAUCGCCCCCAAAGCCACUGGCUCAGAAGAGCAGGAGGUGUCUUGGGCUCUGCUGCUGCGGGUGGUACAGGACUGUGAGUGGGUGUGGGCUGCCUGGGCUCUGCCACCUUCUGGAAGGCACAGCAAGGCCCUUAAAGCAGCCGGCCCCGAGAGGGCUGGGGCCACAGGAGAUGCCCGGGGGAGUCCAGGGUGGGCAGAGGGGCGGGGAAGCCGCAGAGGGCAGGCGAGGGGUCAGCUCUCACCAUCACCUGCCCACCUGGUCCCCAUGCCGGGAGCCUGGC